GAUGUGUUUCUUCAUGAAAGAGGUCUUAUAGCUAUGGCUGGAUAGAAACAUUAGUAUGGGUCAUACUUCUUAGACGCCUGUGCAAAAAGAGAUGGGAAGGUUUGGCAAAAAUAGGCUGGAAAGGAGUGCAGAGGGAAAGAAAGGUGAAUGGAGAAAAAUCUGGAAGAUCUGUUAACACACUGCAGAAAAAUCUGGAAGAUCUGUUAAUACAUUGCAGACCUACGUUUUCAAUCAUGUGGGGAGGAAGAGAAGCAGGGAGGAGAAGAAUACCAGCAUCAGGCAUCCACAGGCUCUGCCCUGCAUUUGAGAAUCCUCUGUCUUGCACAGUCACUUUCCUUUUGCAGACCUCGUGGACAGUCCUGGAGAACUGCUCCACUAGACAAGCACCUCCAUUCAAAUCCCCAGGGUUUGUGGCUCCAAGCAGCCUGGAUAACCACUCUGCUUUGCACAGUCAGGACUGACAUGGGGAAGGUAUGCAGCAGCUCGUCAGGAGCUAGCAGAAUAUUCAGGACAUUUAAUCUGAAGAUCUGCAGGUGCUACUGAAGUAGCAACUACGUGAAGAAUGGAAAGUAUAUAUGAAAAGCAGGUCCACC
rnacentral:lncRNA from 1 species